GACGAACGCUGGCGGCGUGCUUAACACAUGCAAGUCGAACGGAAAGGCCCUGCUUUUGUGGGGUGCUCGAGUGGCGAACGGGUGAGUAACACGUGAGUAACCUGCCCUUGACUUUGGGAUAACUUCAGGAAACUGGGGCUAAUACCGGAUAGGAGCUCCUGCUGCAUGGUGGGGGUUGGAAAGUUUCGGCGGUUGGGGAUGGACUCGCGGCUUAUCAGCUUGUUGGUGGGGUAGUGGCUUACCAAGGCUUUGACGGGUAGCCGGCCUGAGAGGGUGACCGGCCACAUUGGGACUGAGAUGCGGCACAGACUCCUACGGGAGGCAGCAGUGGGGAAUAUUGCACAAUGGGCGGAAGCCUGAUGCAGCCACGCCGCGUGCGGGAUGACGGCCUUCGGGUUGUAAACCGCUUUCGCCUGUGACGAAGCGUGAGUGACGGUAAUGGGUAAAGAAGCACCGGCUAACUACGUG
rnacentral:rRNA from 1 species